AUUGAACGCUGGCGGCAGGCCUAACACAUGCAAGUCGAGCGGAUGAAGGGAGCUUGCUCCUGGAUUCAGCGGCGGACGGGUGAGUAAUGCCUAGGAAUCUGCCUGGUAGUGGGGGAUAACGUCCGGAUACGGGAGCUAAUACCGCAUACGUCAUGAGUGAGAAAGUGGGGGAUCUUCGGACCUCACGCUAUCAGAUGAGCAUAGGUCGGAUUAGCUAGUUGGUGGGGUAAAGGCCUACCAAGGCGACGAUCCGUAACUGGUCUGAGAGGAUGAUCAGUCACACUGGAACUGAGACACGGUCCAGACUCCUAAGGGAGGCAGCAGUGGGGAAUAUUAGACAAGGGGCGAAAGGCUGAUCCAGCCAUGCGGCGUGUGUGAAGAAGGUCUUCGGAUUGUAAAGCACUGUAAGUUGGGAGGAAGGGAAGUAAGUUAAUACCUGGCUGUUUUGACGUUACCAACAGAAUAAGCACCGGCUAACUUCGUG
rnacentral:rRNA from 1 species